rnacentral:rRNA from 1 species
GAUGAACGCUGGCGGCGUGCCUAAUACAUGCAAGUCGAGCGAACAGACGAGGAGCUUGCUCCUUUGACGUUAGCGGCGGACGGGUGAGUAACACGUGGGUAACCUACCUAUAAGACUGGGAUAACUUCGGGAAACCGGAGCUAAUACCGGAUAAUAUUUCGAACCGCAUGGUUCGAUAGUGAAAGAUGGCUUUGCUAUCACUUAUAGAUGGACCUGCGCCGUAUUAGCUAGUUGGUAAGGUAACGGCUUACCAAGGCAACGAUACGUAGCCGACCUGAGAGGGUGAUCGGCCACACUGGAACUGAGACACGGUCCAGACUCCUACGGGAGGCAGCAGUAGGGAAUCUUCCGCAAAGGGCGAAAGCCUGACGGAGCAACGCCGCGUGAGUGAUGAAGGUCUUCGGAUCGUAAAACUCUGUUAUUAGGGAAGAACAAACGUGUAAGUAACUGUGCACGUCUUGACGGUACCUAAUCAGAAAGCCAGGGCUAACUACGUG